CCUUUGUGCACAGUUAAAAAUAAUUUUUCUCCACUCAUUUGGAAAAAAAGCAACAGCCAUGAAGCUUAUACACCUAUUAAUCUUAUGUAUUUGUCUCGUAACGGCAGCAGAAACAAUGGUACUAAAUAACACUACCAUGAGAAAUUAUGCUGUUUUUAUAUCCAGACCAAAAUGUAAAAGUUAUGAUCAUCGUGGACAAUGUAUUGGUGGAAGCUCGAAAUAAAAGGAUAUAAAAAUAUAUAGGAAAAUUAAAAUUAGCACACAUCAUUAUAAUCAAUAAUAACUUCGUUGGAAUUUAGAACUGCGAACAAAAAAUACAUAUGUACAUAAAUAUAAAAUUACAAUAGGUAUUAGACGUUUCCAAAUAAGGAAAGAAUAAAUGUAGGCCUUAAUAAAAUUAAGUGAUUCUAUAGUUAUAUUCUAUAGUUAUAUAUCUUUAUUCAAAUAAUAUGUUCUAAACUUAUCCAUUUAUUAUAAAAUAAUAUCGUAGUCAAGACGAUAUUUUAAUGGGCAAAACUGGAGGCUUUCUACAUGGUACUGGACGAAAAAUCAUCGAUAUUUCAAGAGAAAUGAUAUAUCGUAUAUACAUACUAUGAUCGUUUAAUGGCCAUCCCUGAAAAAAAUUUCCCUUAUCUCAGAAACACUUGAAAUUUGGAAGAAGAUUUCUAAUGAAUGAUUCCACGAAGAUUAGCAAUUUAAAUACAUACGAGGCUGUAAUUCUCAUAAGAAGAUUAUUUUAGUAAAAGUGUUAUUUUCUAGGAACGAAAAGUUGAACCCAAUCUCAACUUCCGGUCAACAUUUUUUAAUCAAUAGUAAGGCACUUUUUCAACAAAUUCAUCAUAAGCUUCUCAAAGACGGUGUUUAAAUGAGUUAAGUAUCCACCCACUAUUCACGGAAAAAACUGGCGCACCCUAGCUCAAUACACCACAACCGAUGAUAACAUAGCACAAGACACCUCACAAUACCUGUACACCAACACACUAAGCAAAAAGGAUGGACAACAGGAUAGCAGACAAUUCGUUCGACACACUUCGUCACAUACAUUCGAUGAGAAUACCAAAGCAAGUUUCAAGCAACGGGUGCCAUUGCGAGGAAGUCGACUCUCGCCGCACCACUUGUCGACAUUUAUUUUAAUCAAAAUUAAAAUUUAAAACACUUAUAAUAUUGCAUAUUAUAUUUGAGUUAAUUUUUAUUGUUAAAAUACAAAUAAAAUUCAUUUUUAUUAAGAGCGUAUGCUCUAAAGAAAUUUUGUAUUCAACUUAAA